rnacentral:rRNA from 1 species
AUUGAACGCUGGCGGCAUGCCUUACACAUGCAAGUCGAACGGCAGCACGGGGGCAACCCUGGUGGCGAGUGGCGAACGGGUGAGUAAUGCAUCGGAACGUGCCCAGUAGUGGGGAUAACUAGUCGAAAGAUUAGCUAAUACCGCAUACGACCUAUGGGUGAAAGCGGGGAUGCAGCACUUAAUGUUUUGGGAUGGCUACUUGUCGGCCGCCGUCGGGACAGUCUCAGGUUGAGAACAUUAAGUGCUGCACCUCG